rnacentral:rRNA from 8 species
AGGGGGAUAACUACUGGAAACGGUAGCUAAUACCGCAUGACCUCGCAAGAGCAAAGUGGGGGACCUUCGGGCCUCACGCCAUCGGAUGUGCCCAGAUGGGAUUAGCUAGUAGGUGAGGUAAUGGCUCACCUAGGCGACGAUCCCUAGCUGGUCUGAGAGGAUGACCAGCCACACUGGAACUGAGACACGGUCCAGACUCCUACGGGAGGCAGCAGUGGGGAAUAUUGCACAAUGGGCGCAAGCCUGAUGCAGCCAUGCCGCGUGUGUGAAGAAGGCCUUAGGGUUGUAAAGCACUUUCAGCGAGGAGGAAGGGUUCAGUGUUAAUAGCACUGAGCAUUGACGUUACUCGCAGAAGAAGCACCGGCUAACUCCGUGCCAGCAGCCGCGGUAAUACGGAGGGUGCAAGCGUUAAUCGGAAUUACUGGGCGUAAAGCGCACGCAGGCGGUUUGUUAAGUCAGAUGUGAAAUCCCCGAGCUUAACUUGGGAACUGCAUUUGAAACUGGCAAGCUAGAGUCUUGUAGAGGGGGGUAGAAUUCCAGGUGUAGCGGUGAAAUGCGUA